UACACUCCUGCGGGAGGCAGCAGUGGGGAAUAUUGGACAAUGGGCGCAAGCCUGAUCCAGCCAUGCCGCGUGAGUGAUGAAGGCCCUAGGGUUGUAAAGCUCUUUCACCGGAGAAGAUAAUGACGGUAUCCGGAGAAGAAGCCCCGGCUAACUUCGUGCCAGCAGCCGCGGUAAUACGAAGGGGGCUAGCGUUGUUCGGAAUUACUGGGCGUAAAGCGCACGUAGGCGGAUCGAUCAGUCAGGGGUGAAAUCCCAGGGCUCAACCCUGGAACUGCCUUUGAUACUGUCGAUCUGGAGUAUGGAAGAGGUGAGUGGAAUUCCGAGUGUAGAGGUGAAAUGCGUAGAUAUUCGGAGGAACACCAGUGGCGAAGGCGGCUCACUGGUCCAUUACUGACGCUGAGGUGCGAAAGCGUGGGGAGCAAACAGGAUUAGAAACCCUUGUAGUCCCAUGAU
rnacentral:rRNA from 1 species